rnacentral:misc_RNA from 1 species
UCCGAGUUGACCCCGGCAGUCUCCCAUGAGUCCCCGCCAUAACGCGCUGGCAACAUGGAACAAGGGUUGCGCUCGUUGCGGGACUUAACCCGACACUUCACAGCACGAGCUGACGACAGCCAUGCACCACCUGUGCAGGCUCCCGACUUAACGGGUCGUUGCCGUUUCCGGCUCCUACUUCCUGCAUGUCAAGCCCAGGUAAGGUUCUUCGCUCUGCAUCGAAUUGAACCACAUGCUCCACCGCUUGUGCGGGCCCCCGUCAAUUCCUUUGAGUUUUAAUCUUGCGACCGUACUCCCCAGGCGGGAUGCUUAAUGCGUUAGCUGCGCCACUGAAGAGCAAGCUCCCCAACGGCUAGCAUCCAUCGUUUACAGCGUGGACUAC